AGCAGCCGCGGUAAUUCCAGCUCCAAUAGCGUAUAUUAAAGUUGUUGCAGUUAAAAAGCUCGUAGUUGAAUUUCGGGAUCAGUAUGUUGGUCGUGCUUCGGUACGUACUGUCAUUACUGGUUUCUACCUUCUGAAGAACCUUGAUGUCAUUAAUUUGGUGUCUUGGGGAAUCAGGACUGUUACUUUGAAAAAAUUAGAGUGUUUAAAGCAAGCAUACGCUUGAAUACAUUAGCAUGGAAUAAUGAAAUAGGACGUUUGAUUCUAUUUUGUUGGUUUCUAGGAUCGACGUAAUGAUUAAUAGGGAUAGUUGGGGGCAUUAGUAUUCAAUUGUCAGAGGUGAAAUUCUUGGAUUUAUUGAAGACUAACUACUGCGAAAGCAUUUGCCAAGGAUGUUUUCAUUAAUCAAGAACGAAAGUUAGGGGAUCGAAGACGAUCAGAUACCGUCGUAGUCUUAACCAUAAACUAUGCCGACUAGGGAUCGGAUGAUGUUAUUUUUAAUGACUCAUUCGGCGCCUUAAC
rnacentral:rRNA from 1 species